CAGGCUUAACACAUGCAAGUCGAGGGGCAGCAUGGUCUUAGCUUGCUAAGGCCGAUGGCGACCGGCGCACGGGUGAGUAACACGUAUCCAACCUGCCGUCUACUCUUGGACAGCCUUCUGAAAGGAAGAUUAAUACAAGAUGGCAUCAUGAGUCCGCAUGUUCACAUGAUUAAAGGUAUUCCGGUAGACGAUGGGGAUGCGUUCCAUUAGAUAGUAGGCGGGGUAACGGCCCACCUAGUCUUCGAUGGAUAGGGGUUCUGAGAGGAAGGUCCCCCACAUUGGAACUGAGACACGGUCCAAACUCCUACGGGAGGCAGCAGUGAGGAAUAUUGGUCAAUGGGCGAGAGCCUGAACCAGCCAAGUAGCGUGAAGGAUGACUGCCCUAUGGGUUGUAAACUUCUUUUAUAAAGGAAUAAAGUCGGGUAUGGAUACCCGUUUGCAUGUACUUUAUGAAUAAGGAUCGGCUAACUCCGUGCCAGCAGCCGCGGUAAUACGGAGGAUCCGAGCGUUAUCCGGAUUUAUUGGGUUUAAAGGGAGCGUAGAUGGAUGUUUAAGUCAGUUGUGAAAGUUUGCGGCUCAACCGUAAAAUUGCAGUUGAUACUGGAUAUCUUGAGUGCAGUUGAGGCAGGCGGAAUUCGUGGUGUAGCGGUGAAAUGCUUAGAUAUCACGAAGAACUCCGAUUGCGAAGGCAGCCUGCUAAGCUGCAACUGACAUUGAGGCUCGAAAGUGUGGGUAUCAAACAGGAUUAGAUACCCUGGUAGUCCACACGGUAAACGAUGAAUACUCGCUGUUUGUGAUAUACUGCAAGCGGCCAAGCGAAAGCGUUAAGUAUUCCACCUGGGGAGUACGCCGGCAACGGUGAAACUCAAAGGAAUUGACGGGGGCCCGCACAAGCGGAGGAACAUGUGGUUUAAUUCGAUGAUACGCGAGGAACCUUACCCGGGCUUAAAUUGCAGAUGAAUUACGGUGAAAGCCGUAAGCCGCAAGGCAUCUGUGAAGGUGCUGCAUGGUUGUCGUCAGCUCGUGCCGUGAGGUGUCGGCUUAAGUGCCAUAACGAGCGCAACCCUUGUUGUCAGUUACUAACAGGUUCCGCUGAGGACUCUGACAAGACUGCCAUCGUAAGAUGUGAGGAAGGUGGGGAUGACGUCAAAUCAGCACGGCCCUUACGUCCGGGGCUACACACGUGUUACAAUGGGGGGUACAGAGGGCCGCUACCACGCGAGUGGAUGCCAAUCCCCAAAACCUCUCUCAGUUCGGACUGGAGUCUGCAGCCCGACUCCACGAAGCUGGAUUCGCUAGUAAUCGCGCAUCAGCCACGGCGCGGUGAAUACGUUCCCGGGCCUUGUACACACCGCCCGUCAAGCCAUGGGAGCCGGGGGUACCUGAAGUGCGUAACCGCGAGGAGCGCCCUAGGGUAAAACUGGUGACUGGGGCUAAGUCGUA
rnacentral:rRNA from 1 species